UGUUAGUGAUGAUGUAUAAAGCUA
rnacentral:piRNA from 1 species